rnacentral:tRNA from 1 species
AAAGGCUUAGGAUAAACUCUAGACCAAAGGCCUUCAAAGCCUUAAGUAGGUGAUUGAACCACCUAGCCUUUA